rnacentral:rRNA from 1 species
UACGUAGGUGGCAAGCGUUGUCCGGAAUUAUUGGGCGUAAAGGGCUCGUAGGCGGUUUGUCGCGUCGGGAGUGAAAACCUUGGGCUUAACUCAGGGCUUGCUUUCGAUACGGGCAGACUAGAGGGAUGCAGGGGAGAACGGAAUUCCUGGUGUAGCGGUGAAAUGCGCAGAUAUCAGGAGGAACACCGGUGGCGAAGGCGGAUCUCUGGGCCUUACCUGACGCUGAGGCGCGAAAGCUAGGGGAGCGAACAGG